AGCCCGGUGGUGUAGCGGUCAAGCAUGGUGGGCUCUGGACCCACCGACGGGAGUUCGAAUCUCCCCCGGGCUACCA
rnacentral:tRNA from 1 species